AUAUUGGACAAUGGGGGCAACCCUGAUCCAGCCAUGCCGCGUGUGUGAAGAAGGCCUUCGGGUCGUAAAACUCUGUCAUAGGGGAAGAAAAAGAUGACGGUACCCUAUGAGGAAGCCCCGGCUAACUACGUGCCAGCAGCCGCGGUAAUACGUAGGGGGCGAGCGUUGUCCGGAAUUACUGGGCGUAAAGGGUGCGCAGGCGGCCGAUUAAGGCAGAUGGGAAAUACCACGGCUCAACUGUGGGGGUGCAUUUGAAACUGGUUGGCUUGAGUGCAGGAGAGGAAAAUGGAAUUCCUAGUGUAGCGGUGAAAUGCGUAGAGAUUAGGAGGAAAACCAGUGGCGAAGGCGACUUUCUGGACUGUAACUGACGCUGAGGCACGAAAGCGUGGGGAGCGAAC
rnacentral:rRNA from 1 species